AACCUACGGGAGGCAGCAGUGAGGAAUAUUGGUCAAUGGACGGAAGUCUGAACCAGCCAAGUAGCGUGCAGGAAGACGGCCCUAUGGGUUGUAAACUGCUUUUAUAUAGGGAGAAUAAGGAGUACGUGUACUCUGAUGACGGUACUAUAUGAAUAAGCAUCGGCUAACUCCGUGCCAGCAGCCGCGGUAAUGGUU
rnacentral:rRNA from 1 species